AACGAACGCUGGCGGCAGGCUUAACACAUGCAAGUCGAGCGGGCCCUUCGGGGUCAGCGGCGGACGGGUGAGUAACGCGUGGGAACGUGCCCUUCCCUCUGGAAUAGCCUCGGGAAACUGAGAUUAAUGCCGGAUACGCCCUUCGGGGGAAAGAUUUAUCGGGGAAGGAUCGGCCCGCGUUGGAUUAGGUAGUUGGUGGGGUAAUGGCCUACCAAGCCGACGAUCCAUAGCUGGUUUGAGAGGAUGAUCAGCCACACUGGGACUGAGACACGGCCCAGACUCCUACGGGAGGCAGCAGUGGGGAAUCUUGGACAAUGGGGGCAACCCUGAUCCAGCCAUGCCGCGUGAGCGAUGAAGGCCCUAGGGUUGUAAAGCUCUUUCAGCGGGGAAGAUAAUGACGGUACCCGCAGAAGAAGCCCCGGCUAACUCCGUGCCAGCCGCCGCAGUAACAC
rnacentral:rRNA from 1 species